rnacentral:rRNA from 2 species
CGCGACCCCAGGUCAGGCGGGAUUACCC